rnacentral:rRNA from 1 species
UACGGAGGGUGCGAACGUUAAUCGGAAUCACUGGGCGUAAAGCGCGCGUAGGCGGUUUGUUAAGUGGGAUGUGAAAUCCCCGGGCUUAACCUGGGAAUGGCAUUUGGGACUGCAAGGCUGGAGUGUGGCAGAGGAGACUGGAAUUCCUGGUGUAGCAGUGAAAUGCGUAGAUAUCAGGAGGAAUACCGAUGGCGAAGGCAGGUCUCUGGGCUGACACUGACGCUCAUGCACGAAAGCGUGGGGAGCAAACAGG